UACGAAGGGGGCUAGCGUUGCUCGGAAUCACUGGGCGUAAAGCGCACGUAGGCGGCUUCUUAAGUCAGGGGUGAAAUCCUGGAGCUCAACUCCAGAACUGCCUUUGAUACUGAGGAGCUCGAGUCCGGGAGAGGUGAGUGGAACUCCGAGUGUAGAGGUGAAAUUCGUAGAGAUCCGGAGGAACACCAGUGGCGAAGGCGACACGCUGGGCCGUACCUGACGCUAAAGCGCGACAGCAUGGGGAGCAAACGGG
rnacentral:rRNA from 1 species